rnacentral:lncRNA from 1 species
AUGAGCCUCAGUUUCCUCCUCUGGAAAAUGGGGAUAAUGAUAAUAUACUUAUCUAUUGGGUGGUGUGUGUGUAAGUGCUUGGGAAAAUACCUGACACUUGAAAAGUCUGUACAAAUGUUAGCUUUUAUUAUUAUAUUUUAUAUGGAGACAAAGCAAAAUGACCUCCCCUAUGUAUCUUUUUUUUUUUUUUUUAAACUUCUCUGUUUUCUCCUAGAAACAUGCAGAAAGCCAGUAGAGCCUUGGCUCCAGAACCAACCAGCAGAGAAAGUAUCUCCCAUGACUUGGGAUAUCUUCUAUCUCACAGGGAGAAGACACUUUGAAAGUUCCUCACAGACCUGUCUAUUGAUGUUCUUGGUUCCACUCUUCAGAUCUCAGCCAGUAAUCAAUCAGGAGUCCCCACUGGUAGACCUAGAUCCUGCCUAUGUUCUCAUGAACCAUGGCCAUUGGCAACUGAAAUACAGCUUAAGUGCUUGCUAAUGGAGGAGCCCACCCGCCUUGGCCCAGACCCUCCCCCACCCCAGGGGCUACAGCGCUGAGAAUCUAUGAAGAAAGGCCAGCUUGCCCGCUCACUUCAGUUUGGGGGGGAAAGAGGUAAAGAACAUUAUCAGGUCAAUUGAAGAGAGGAUUGUAUUAAUACUAAAUUUACUGAAGUUGAUUAAUAUACUGUGGUUAUGUAAGGGAAUAUUUUUGUUCUUAGUACAUACACACUGAUGUAUUUAGGAGUAAAGAGCCAUGAUGUACAUAUUUUCUUUCCAAAGAUUCAGAAAAAUGUUUUAUAUAACAUAUGGAUAUUUGUAAACACUUAUUUACAUAUAUGUCUACGUAUAUAUAAAGAGAGAGAGCAAAUGAUGAAACAAAUGGGCAAAAUGUUAACAAUAGGUGGAUCUAAGCAAAACGUAGGUGUUCUGUGUCC